ensembl:lncRNA
CAGACACACACUCCAUCACUCAGACAUCAUUUACAGAUAUCCAGAGGCACACUCCAUCACUCAGACAUCAUUUACAGAUAUCCAGGGGCACACUCCAUCACUCAGACAUCAUUUACAGAUAUCCAGGGGCACACUCCAUCACUCAGACAUCAUUUACAGAUAUCCAGAGGCACACUCCAUCACUCAGACCUCAUUUACAGAUAUCCAGGGGCACACUCCAUCACUCAGACAUUAUUUAACGAUAUCCGAGGCACACUCCAUCACUCAGACAUCAUUUACAGAUAUCCAGGGGCACACUCCGUCACUCAGACAUAUUUUACAGAUAUCCAGAGGCACACUACAUCACUCAGACAUCAUUUACAGAUAGCCAGGGGCACACUCCAUCACUCAGACCUCAUUUACAGAUAUCCAGAGGCACACUCCAUCACUCAGACAUCAUUUACAGAUAUCCAGAGGCGCACUCCAUCACUCAGACAUCAUUUACAGAUAUCCAGGGGCAAAAUCCAUCACUCAGACAUCAUUUACAGAUAUCCAGGGGCAAACUCCAACACUCAGACAUAAUUUACAGAUAUCCAGGGGCACACCUCAACACUCAGACAUAAUUUACAGAUAGACAGGGGCACACUCCAUCACUCAGACAUCAUUUACAGAUAUCCAGAGGCACACUCCAGCACUCAGACAUAAUUUACAGAUAUCCAGAGGCGCUCUCCAUCACUCAGACAUCAUUUACAGAUAUCCAGAGGCACACUCCAUCACUCAGACAUCAUUUACAGAUAUCCAGGGGCACAUUCCAUCACUCAGACAUCAUUUACAGAUAUCCAGGGGCACACUCCAUCACUCAGACAUCCUUUACAGAUAGCCAGGGGCACACUCCAUCACUCAGACAUCAUUUACAGAUAUCCAGGGCACACUCCAUCACUCAGACAUCAUUUACAGAUAUCCAGAGGCGCACUCCAUCACUCAGACAUCAUUUACAGAUAUCCAGAGGCGCACUCCAUCACUCAGACAUCAUUUACAGAUAUCCAGAGGCACACUCCAUCACUCAGACAUCAUUUACAGAUAUCCAGGGGCAC